rnacentral:misc_RNA from 1 species
GAUACCCUUAACAACUGGGAGAGCAUUUGGAUUGAAAUUGUCAUCCGGGUGAUCUCCAACAUCACCUGCAAUCUUUAUCCCCUUGCGCACGUUUUCCAUAUACACAUCAGAAAAUGUGAUAUUUCUUAUAAACCCUCCUCUGCCGGUGUUUGUUUUUACAUGUAUGCCAACUCCCAUAUUGUAGAGGCUUAUGUUUUCUGCCAAGACAUUCUCCACCCCACCAGAGGUUUCACUUCCAACCGCAAUUCCAGCAAAAGGAGAUGAUCCUGUUACUCGCCGAAUUGUGAUGCCAGAGCUUGGUCGACCAUAAGCUAUCCCAUAUUCAUCCCACCCGCUUUUCACAGCUACAAGAUCAUCUCCAGUAGAAAUGAACGAAUCCUCUAUGCAUACGUUAGAGCUUGAAUCUGGAUCAAUUCCAUCAGUAUUGGGAGAAUCGUGUGGGGCCAAGAUGGUAACAAAUCGGAUAACAACAUUGCUGCAAUAAACAGGAUGAAUGUUCCAAAAGGGAGAGUUCCGGAAAAUCACAUUGGAUAUAAUUAUGCUUCUUGAAUUUAUAAUUUCAACAAGAUUAGGUCUUGUAAAUUGGAGAGUUCUCUGCCUCCACAUGUUCCACCAGACAUCUCCUUGUCCAUCAAUCGUCC